GUUGGUUGGUUGGUUGGCUAGCUGGCUGCCUGGUUGGUUGGUUGGCUGGCUGGCUGGUUGGUGGGUUUGCAGGCCUUUCUGUUUGCAGGAAGAGGGGAGGCUAGGAGUCCAGGACCUGAAAACCCCUGGUUCUAACACGGUUAACUGAAAGCAUGAGGUAUUGUGAAAGAGGAACCUUUUUUGGGAUAGAGCAGUAAUCACAUUAAGUAAAAAAACUGAUCACAUAAAAAAAAUCUACAAAAAAAAUUGUCAAUAAUAUAAUUUUCUAUGAGAAAAUUAAAAACUUAUGACACGGCAGUUAAUGACAUUGUGUAAAAAACUGAUCCACAAUAUAUAGCAGCAAAACAACACGACAAAGAGACAGGAAGCGAUGCUGGCUGGCUUUUUUUUUUCCUUUUCCAAACCAUGCUGGGAAUUCAUCCAUAGCAGCUCAAUAAAAAUGGAGUAUCCCCCACUCCACUCCUGUUACUUUUACAAUCACCCCCUUCACCGAACGGCAGCUCCCCCCAUGCAUCCAUCCAUCCGUCCAUCCAUCUGUCCAACUACCCACCACAUCCUCCUCCUCCUCCUCCUCCAACGUCAUCUUUGUCUCCUUCCACCCCUCCCUCCAUCCACCCCCUCCCUUCAUCUACUUACUUCCUAAAGAAUAACACAACAUGCGUCGCCCAGAUGUGCAAAUUUUCGGUCACUCCCCAAGGGAAGAAGAAAGACGCAGACGCCAGCCCCCCUCCCUGGGUUCUCCAGCUCUGGUGCGUGGUUUCCAAUGGCCAGGCAGAGCACUUGGGGAAAGAAGACCCCUCCUCCCAAGAGCUGCAUCUACACAGCGUUUGGUUUUUUGUUUCUGAUAACUUUCCUCCAAAGGACCGGUCUUUGACAAGCUGCGUUAAACUGCUACGUCAUAGAAUACAUGUCCUGGAUGAGUCUCGUGUGUGUGUGUGCGCGUAAGGUAAGAGAGAGAACUCUGGAACCGAGGCUUCCUCCACCCAGGAGAUCCUGAGGGACCCACAAGAAUUGGCCUGAAAUGAAGCGCUCUGUUAUGCUGAACCACUCAUGAGACGGAAGAAGAGAGACACCUAGGGAAGGAGCUAAGCCGUUCAGAGACAGGCCGUAAAGUGACUACAUGCAUUAGCUAGCGGGGGACAGAGAUGCUGGGGCCGCGGGCGGGCAGGGGGCCACGAUGCCUCCCUCGGAGAGCCCUAGGAGCUCUACGUCUACAAAAAGAAGAAAAACGCUAACCCUCUUCUACUUAUAAACGGCUGGUUUCACUUU